UACGGGGGGGGCAAGCGUUGUUCGGAAUUACUGGGCGUAAAGGGCCAGUAGGCGGCCAACUAAGUCCGACGUGAAAUCCCCAGGCUCAACUUGGGAACUGCGUCGGAUACUGGAUGGCUUGAAUUCGGGAGAGGGAUGCAGAAUUCCAGGUGUAGCGGUGAAAUGCGUAGAUAUCUGGAGGAAUACCGGUGGCGAAGGCGGCAUCCUGGACCGACAUUGACGCUGAGAAGCGAAAGCGUGGGGAGCGAACAGG
rnacentral:rRNA from 1 species